UGAGGUUACAUUCCACAAUGAUGCCUAGAAAGAGAAAAGGUCGCCAAAGGAUCCAAAUGGCAAGAUCGGAGAAAGCAAGCACCUUACUGGUUACCUUCUCUAAAUGCUGUUGUGGCUUGUUUACAAAUGCAAGUGAGCUUAGCAUCUUGUGCGGGGUUGAAAUUGCUAUCUUUGUCUUCUCUCCAGGCAAAAAGAUAUUCUCCUUUGGGGAUCCAUCUGUAGAGAUGAUUGUUGAUAGCUUCCGAACAAAAAAAAAUCAUGCUUGGAUCUCAGUUGUUGAGCAAGGUAAGAUGUUUAUAAUUUCAUGGUCCGUUAAACCGUUAUCACCUCAUAUACAAAUUUGCCAAAUAAAUUCAAAAACAACCAAAUUACCAAAUCAACUAUAUGUAAUAUAUCAAGAGUUGGAAUUGUCAUUAGUGUCAUGUGCAUUUCCUCGGUCUUAAAAAAUAUUAUAUAUGUCACACUUGUUUAUGUGAUGCUUAUUUUGUCACUUAUAUUUCAUGAUUUAACACCAAAAUAUACAUCAGAAAUGAUUUUUUAUUAAACCCUGACUACUCAAACUUCUUCCAUUUACAAAAAAAAAAUCUUCAAUUAUUUCAUAUGAAGAAAUUUCAAUUUGUUUUAGAAAACAGAACUACAAGGGUUUUCUUUUACAUGUAAUCUACAAUCAUGAAAUGUAAGUCCUGUAAACUCCUUAAUUUUAUCUUUAGAGCUAGCUAUCCAGUUUUAAAGUUCUAAACCAAAACUGUUCAUCUCUCCAGUUUUCAAUUUCAAGACAACUAUCAGGACUGCAGUGGCUGCUGUGAUUGCAAGAGAUUAAAUCUUCUAUGACAAAAUGAUGCCUUUAAGUAUCCUAGAAGUUUAUACAUUUUCACCAUAAAAAACAAACAAAAUUCUGAUAUUACUUUUGUUGCUUCAUCCCACAAUGACACCCAAAAAGAGUAAUGUUUGUCAAAAGAUCUAAAUGGCAAAAAUGGAGAAAGAAAGCAACUUAAAUGUUACCUUCUCCAAACGCCGCCCUGGCUUGUCUAGAAAGUGAGUGAGCUUUACAUUUUGUGCAGGGUAGAAAUCGCAAUUGUCAUUUUCUCUUCAAGCCAAUAGGCCAAACUCCUUUGGCCAAUCUGUCUGUAGAGAUGAUUGUUGAUCUCGUCAUCACACAAAUUUCACAUACAAAUUCUAGCAACUCCCAACUUGUUGAAGCAUAUCAAAAUGCCAAUAUUUAUGAAGUCAAUAGGCAACUCACCAAUGGGUUUAGUCAACUAGUGGUUGAGAAGAACAAAAGUGAGGAGGUUACAAAUAUAAGGAAGGAAGGCAUAAAUAAUCAUUUAUGGAAGGCUACAAUAGAAGCCUAGGAUUAGAAUAGCUUGAGCACUUGAAGGUGGCUAUGGAGUGGCCGAAAAGGGAAACUGAGGACCGGAAGAAGAGGACCAUGGCGGUUAACCAAUUGCCUAUAGUCCCCAUUUUUGGUGCCAAUGGUAUUGGUGGUGGUUACAAUCAAUUGUUGGAUUCUACAUCAUUAAUAAGCAUGACUCCACAUGGAUUCUAGCUGGGAAAUUGUCAUUUGAGUCUCUAAGACAGGUUUCAACUUUCAAGACAACUAUGAGGACUCAUGUGGCUGCUGUGAUUGCAAGAGAUAAAUCAUCCUGUUGGACGAAUUGGUGUGGAGGCCCGAUCAAGGGAGGGCGGCCGACCCUAGCUUUGAGUCGGCCCACACGUCUUUAUUUGGCAGUUAAAUUAGGGUUUUAAUUUAGCCGGCCCUAGAUUAGUCUCUAUAUAUUGAUAUCAUUGUACUUGUAAUUCCUUGAGCAUCUGAAUAAUAAAGAAACCCUAGUUGCA